UCGACCUGAGGUCAGGCAAGAACACCCGCUGAACUUAAGCAUAUCAAUAAGCGGAGGAAAAGAAACUAACUAGGAUUCCCU
rnacentral:rRNA from 1 species